UGAGAACCAAAAGAUCGAAUAGGGAGAUUCAUCGUCAGCAUGUUUCGUAUAUGUAUGAGUUAUGAUGCGGGUUACUUCGGUAUUGCUUGCACAUUCUUGUACAUUUAAUUGCGGGAUAUGUCGGCGUGCACUUCUCCCUUAGUAGAACGUCGCACCCCAUUGGGUGUCGAUUUAUGACCCGGGAGGGAGCCUUUAACGUUUUUAACAUUAAAGACCCUCGGUGUUCUAACCGACUGCGCGAUGGGACUCGUAUGGUAUAAAAUCCCAUAUUUUAUGCGUUCAUAUCUGUCACAAGGAGACUAAAUUCUGGCCGUACGGACUUUAGNGCCGUCGUUGGAUUUUUACAGCUGUUGGUGGGCGGUAUUCUAGAACAGACUUAUACCGGUUAGCGAUGCUACUGCUUUGGGUACUUUCAGGACCCGUCUUGAAACACGGACCAAGGAGUCUAACAUGUGCGCGAGUCAUUGGGAUUAUUUAAAUUAAACCUAAAGGCGCAAUGAAAGUAAAGGUCUUCCUUGCGUUGACCGAGGGAGGAUGAGUUGUUUCAAGAUUCAGCUCCGCACUCCCGGGGCGUCUCAUUUUCAUUGAAAGAGCGC
rnacentral:rRNA from 1 species